GAUGAACGCUGGCGGCGUGCCUAAUACAUGCAAGUCGAGCGAACGGACGAGAAGCUUGCUUCUCUGAUGUUAGCGGCGGACGGGUGAGUAACACGUGGAUAACCUACCUAUAAGACUGGGAUAACUUCGGGAAACCGGAGCUAAUACCGGAUAAUAUUUUGAACCGCAUGGUUCAAUAGUGAAAGACGGUCUUGCUGUCACUUAUAGAUGGAUCCGCGCUGCAUUAGCUAGUUGGUAAGGUAACGGCUUACCAAGGCAACGAUGCAUAGCCGACGUGUGAGGGUGGUCGCCCACACUGGAACUGAGACACGGUCAAGACUCCUAAGGGAGGCAGCAGUAGGGAAUCUUACGCAAUGGGCGAAAGCCUGACGGAGCAACGCCGCGUGAGUGAUGAAGGUCUUCGGAUCGUAAAACUCUGUUAUUAGGGAAGAACAUAUGUGUAAGUAACUGUGCACAUCUUGACGGUACCUAAUCAGAAAGCCACGGCUAACUACGUG
rnacentral:rRNA from 1 species